rnacentral:rRNA from 1 species
CUGCUGCCUUCCGUAGGAGUUUGGGCCGUGUCUCAGUCCCAAUGUGGCCGUUCACCCUCUCAGGCCGGCUACUGAUCGUUGCCUUGGUAGGCUUUUACCCCACCAACUAGCUAAUCAGACGCGGAACCAUCGUAUACCACCUCAGUUUUUCACACUGCUUCAUGCGAAGCUGUGCGCUUAUGCGGUAUUAGCACCUAUUUCUAAGUGUUAUCCCCCAGUAUACGGCAGGUUUUCCACGCGUUACUCACCCGUCCGCCA